CUCGUGCUGGCGUGGGUGCUGACGCUGCCGGCGUCGAUCGUGCUUGCCGGCGGGCUCUAUUGGCUGUUCCGGUCGGUGGCGUAAGC
rnacentral:tRNA from 2 species